rnacentral:rRNA from 1 species
AUUGAACGCUGGCGGCAGGCCUAACACAUGCAAGUCGAACGAGUGGCGGACGGGUGAGUAAUGUCUGGGAAACUGCCUGAUGGAGGGGGAUAACUACUGGAAACGGUAGCUAAUACCGCAUAACAUCAGAUGAGCCCAAAUGGGAUUAGCUAGUCGGUGAGGUAACGGCUCACCAAGGCUACGAUCCCUAGCUGGUCUGAGAGGAUGACCAGCCACACUGGAAAUGAGACACGGUCCAGACUCCUACGGGAGGCAGCAGUGGGGAAUAUUGAACAAUGGGCGCAAGCCUGAUGCAGCCAUGCCGCGUGUAUGAAGAAGGCCUUCGGGUUGUAAAGUACUUUCAGCGGGGAGGCGUUACCCACAGAAGAAGCACCGGCUAACUCCGUGCCAGCAGCCGCGGUAAUAC